AUGGACGAAAGUCUGAUGGAGCAACGCCGCGUGAGUGAAGAAGGUUUUCGGAUCGUAAAACUCUGUUGUAAGGGAAGAACAAGUACGGUAGUAACUGGCCGUACCUUGACGGUACCUUAUUAGAAAGCCACGGCUAACUACGUGCCAGCAGCCGCGGUAAUACGUAGGUGGCAAGCGUUGUCCGGAAUUAUUGGGCGUAAAGCGCGCGCAGGCGGUCCUUUAAGUCUGAUGUGAAAGCCCACGGCUCAACCGUGGAAGGUCAUUGGAAACUGGGGGACUUGAGUGCAGAAGAGGUUAGUGGAAUUCCAAGUGUAGCGGUGAAAUGCGUAGAGAUUUGGAGGAACACCAGUGGCGAAGGCGACUAACUGGUCUGUAACUGACGCUGAGGCGCGAAAGCGUGGGGAGCAAACAGGAUUAGAUACCCUGGUAGUCCACGCCGUAAACGAUGAGUGCUAAGUGUUAGGGG
rnacentral:rRNA from 1 species